CUUCAUGCCCAAGAGUGAAGAGAGGGUCAGAAACAUAUGCUAGUUUUUUUUGAGACUUUAAGCAAAAACUGUCCAAGGAGUGCAGCACUGAUGGCUAGGGAGCCUUACUACAAAGAAUUCAUCCCCAAAUCUAGUAUGCUUCCUAAAACUGUUCUUGAAUACAGAACACCAGAGACUCUGCAGCUACCCCCCAAAGAGCUUGGAGAGCUAUGCCAGUUAUGGAUGCAAACAUGAAGCACAAGCCAGAGGAGUCUAUGAGAAGCUGAUGGGUCGGGAGCAUGCAGGCUUCUCCUGUAUGGACAGUGGUCUCUGGCUGAACCCCAAGUGGCCAUACAUGGGGUCCUCCCCUGAUGGGAUUGUUGCUUGUGACUGUCACGGAACUGGCAUCUGCGAGAUUAAGUGUCCACACUCUCACCAAGAUGAAGCCAACCUGCGCUUGUGUGCUGGGGAAAAGGGCUUCUGCCUCAUCAAUGAUGGGGAUAAUCUCUUCCC